rnacentral:rRNA from 1 species
AUACGGAGGGGGCUAGCGUUGUUCGGAAUUACUGGGCGUAAAGCGCGCGUAGGCGGAUUGGUCAGUUGGGGGUGAAAUCCCGAGGCUUAACCUCGGAACUGCCUUCAAAACUGCCAGUCUUGAGUCCGGGAGAGGUGAGUGGAAUUCCUAGUGUAGAGGUGAAAUUCGUAGAUAUUAGGAAGAACACCAGUGGCGAAGGCGGCUCACUGGCCCGGUACUGACGCUGAGGCGCGAAAGCGUGGGGAGCAAACAGGAUUAGAAACCCCGGUAGUCC